UACGAAGGGGGCUAGCGUUGUUCGGAAUCACUGGGCGUAAAGCGCGUGUAGGUGGGUAUGCAAGCCAGGGGUGAAAGCCCAGAGCUCAACUCUGGAAUUGCCUUUGGAACUGCAUAUCUAGAGUCUUGUAGGGGGUAGUGGAAUUCCUAGUGUAGAGGUGAAAUUCGUAGAUACUAGGAGGAACACCGGUGGCGAAGGCGGCUACCUGGACGAGAACUGACACUGAGACGCGAAAGCGUGGGGAUCAAACAGG
rnacentral:rRNA from 1 species